rnacentral:rRNA from 1 species
AGCAGCCGCGGUAAUUCCAGCUCCAAUAGCGUAUAUUAAAGUUGUUGCAGUUAAAAAGCUCGUAGUUGAAUUUCGGGAUUAGUAAGUUGGUCGUGCCUCUGGUAUGUACUGGCUUUACUGGUUCCUCCUUCUUGAAGAACUGUAAUGUCAUUAAUUUGGUGUUGCAGGGAAACAGGACUGUUACUUUGAAAAAUUAGAGUGUUUAAAGCAGGCUAACGCUUGAAUACAUUAGCAUGGAAUAAUGAAAUAGGACGUUUGAUCCUAUUUUGUUGGUUUCUAGGAUUGACGUAAUGAUUAAUAGGGAUAGUUGGGGGCAUUAGUAUUCAAUUGUCAGAGGUGAAAUUCUUGGAUUUAUUGAAGACUAAACUACUGCGAAAGCAUUUGCCAAGGAUGUUUUCAUUAAUCAAGAACGAAAGUUAGGGGAUCGAAGACGAUCAGAUACCGUCGUAGUCUUAACCAUAAACUAUGCCGACUAGGAUCGGAUGAUGUUAAUUUUUUAAUGACUCAUUCGGCGCCUUAC